GCCCGGGUGGCCCAACGGAAGAGGCCGUCGGCUCAGACCCGGCGUACUGGGGGUUCGAAUCCCUCUCCGGGUA
rnacentral:tRNA from 1 species